UAAUUGAAGAGUUUGAUCAUGGCUCAGAUUGAACGCUGGCGGCAGGCCUAACACAUGCAAGUCGAGCGGAAACGAGUUAUCUGAACCUUCGGGGGACGAUAACGGCGUCGAGCGGCGGACGGGUGAGUAAUGCCUGGGAAAUUGCCCUGAUGUGGGGGAUAACCAUUGGAAACGAUGGCUAAUACCGCAUAAUCUCUUCGGAGUAAAGAGGGGGACCUUCGGGCCUCUCGCGUCAGGAUAUGC
rnacentral:rRNA from 1 species